rnacentral:rRNA from 1 species
GAGAAGUCCACUAAACCUUAUCAUUUAGAGGAAGGAGAAGUCGUAACAAGGUUUCCGCAGGUGAACCUGCGGAAGGAUCAUUG